GCCCCGCCUGUAGCGGUCCCCUGAGUGGGAGCGGCUCCUGGGGAUGCAGCAGGGCGGGAGGAGGACUGUGAGGCUCCAGGGACCCCAACCGCACCCCACCCUGGGUCCGGAUCCACAGUCCUCCUUCCUGCAAGGCCCAGGGUGACAGGCUCGACUCUCCUCUCCUGCUACUCUCCCUCCAAAAUGUCCCAGAGCGGCAUUCCGGCCUCCCUCCGGCUACAGAGAUGGCGCUCUAGAUACACUCAGCCUAAGGGCAGUCCUGCCAUCAUGAGCCCUGCCUGGCCCACGUCACCUCUCCCUCACUAGACACCCGCUUGCUAACUUCCCGGGAGAAGCCAUUCAACACCUUAUCUCAUCUAACCUCGACCCACAGCCCCAUGAGGAAGAUCCCAUUCCCACCCCCAUUCCGAAGAGGGAACUGGGCUUCAGAGAGCUAUGGAGCUUGGAUGAGGGGGACUGGGAUCAGACUGAGCUUGGUCCCUCACAAAAUCCCUUCUCCAACCACUCUUUCAUCCACGAGACAACGACCUGUGCCCAGCGGUGCUACUGAGUGCCCGUUAUUUCCCACUGGCCACUUCUGGAAAUUGAGAUUAAAGUGACUUGAUUUCUCAGUCACACUGUUUUGCCAUAUUUGGUCAUUUUU
rnacentral:lncRNA from 10 species